rnacentral:rRNA from 1 species
UGGGGAAUUUUGGACAAUGGGGGCAACCCUGAUCCAGCCAUGCCGCGUAUGCGAAGAAGGCCUUCGGGUUGUAAAGCACUUUUGGCAGGAAAGAAACGGCGCCGGCUAAUAUCUGGCGUAACUGACGGUACCUGCAGAAUAAGCACCGGCUAACUACGUGCCAGCAGCCGCGGUAAUACGUAGGGUGCAAGCGUUAAUCGGAAUUACUGGGCGUAAAGCGUGCGCAGGCGGUUCGGAAAGAAAGAUGUGAAAUCCCAGGGCUCAACCUUGGAACUGCAUUUUUAACUCCCGAACUAGAGUGUGUCAGAUGGGGGUGGAAUUCCACGUGUAGCAGUGAAAUGCGUAGAUAUGUGGAGGAACACCGAUGGCGAAGGCAGCCCCCUGGGAUAACACUGACGCUCAUGCACGAAAGCGUGGGGAGCAAACA